UAAACGCAAAUCAAAUCUCCAAUCAACUGAUUGUCAUCAAAUAUUUAAUUAUCAUCAACUUUGAUUGGGUUGCUGAAACAAUAAUUAAGCCUUUGUUAACUGAUUAUCAUCAAGUCGCUAUUUGAUAGCGCGCACCAACCGGCAACGCAGCAUAAAAUGGCAUUUGCGUGAUAUUUUGAGGUUAUGUUAAAAAUUUACGUUUUGAUUCGUUGUUUUGUGGUGAAUUGGUGCGGCCUUCGUCGGUGUUUUUGAGGUGUGUUAUCUCUUAAAAACAUUCAAGAUGAGCAGCUCCAGUUCAAAAGCACCUAAGAGAUCGAAAAAUUUCACCGGGCACGAGAAAAGCGAAUUAACCCAAAUAAUUCAAAGGUCGCCAUGAUAUUUUCAUCAUCAUCCAGGCGCGGAAUAAAGUCUCAGGCGCUCGACCCAGUGCUGCCGCGUCGACAAAUAUAUUUUCCUUUUGGACUAUAUCAACAUAAUAUAACAUUUCAAGAUAACUGUGGUUGAAAAAUUAAAAAGGACACCGAGUAUUAUUAUUUGAAGUAAUAUAGUACUGCAAAAGUAGUAUUAUUAUCAGCUGUGAAUACUCCUUACGCGACGCACUGGUGAUGGACCACAUCAAAGAGUCCCCACUGCUCGCCGUAAAACACACCUUACUUCAACUGGGGGACUGCAGCAGUAAGAUAUAAUUCCGCGCACUCACCAUCAUCAAAUGCAGAUCAUCAUAUUGGUUACUAUCGACAAUGUUGGAAAUCGCCAGUUUAAAACUCAAUAGCACCUUUCAAUUGUGUUUCUGAUAACUUUGUGAUGUUUCCUCAGCUCGAUUUCUAGAGUUAACGAAAGAUGUGAGAAGGUAUCUCUUGCAGGUGUAACCACUAUCUCCAAGAAGAUAUCCUGUUUUAAUUCAUCAUGGACAGAUCCUGGCCAACGGACUAGCAUGUGGCGAAAUAUUUGCGUCACAUCUUGAGAUUAUGUUAAAUAUUUGUGAUCGUUAAUGGUGGAAGUUAAAGUUUGUUGUUGUUCUUGGGCUAUUGUUCCUCUGAAAAUUGUUCACGAUGGAUAGUACCAAAGUUAUGGAAAGGUCGAAAAAUUUCACAGCCCAUCAAAAAACUCAGUACAAAUAAUUCUGAGAUAUGCCCAUAUAUUAGAAAACAGAUGCAGUUUCUGUACAAGAAGAGAAUGUUGCUGAGAGAUCAUGUAAGACGAAUUCAAUGUUACCAUCAUUGAGGGGCCUAGGGAUGUUCAGACUAUCAAAAUUCGACACAAAACUUAAAAAAGGAAAGGGCUGAAAAAAUUAAGUUACAAGCUGGAUCUACAAUAUUUUUAUACAAUGUGGUUAUUAAUUUUUAGAAGGAAGCGUUUAUUUCUAUUAAAACAGACAACAGGGAUGAAGGUAUGAGUGCAGACGUGGGUGAUGGUGAGCUGGAAAUGACAAAUAAAUAUAAUAGAUGAAGAUUUGAUUUUUUACAAAAAAAAGGUGAAAAAAAACAGAUACAGCACAAUACUUCGGUUUGUAUACUAGGACAAAUCGUCAUGCAUACAUGAUCUUAUAAAUCUGACCUCUCAUAACGAGAUAUAUUUUCAAUAACUUUACUUGUUUUUAACGCAUUUUUUUUCCAGGAAAUCCUGAACCUCAUAGCCCUGCCUCCUCCAUUCCGAACGAGAAAAAUAAAAUCCCCCUUUCCAAGAAAAACAGUGUAAUAAAAAAUAAAAAAUAUACAAAUGAAAAUAAUUUUUAGUGAAUUUGCAAAAUAAACACAAACAAAAACUUUCAAAAAGGCUUACAAUUAAAAUAUUUGCAGAUUAAAAAAGUAGAAAUCGAAUUGGAAAAUUCAAAUUCAAUAAUUGGAAAUCGAAGAGUUUUUUUUUAGUUUUAUAAUAAUCAUUAUUAAACAUUUUUGUUAAACUCUUUCUGCAAAUAUAGUAUUUACAAGGUGAGUUCUCAUAGCAAAAUUUCCUUCCAUGGGGUCACCACCUAUGACUUCAUCGUCUUCCUCAAUUUCAAGGUGAUCUUCUGGCCAGUCAUCUUUAAAAAUAAUUGCCAGGUUAUGCAAAAUUGCACAGGCGACGAUUGCCAUCAUAUUAGUUUUCAUUUUUAGUCGCAAUCCCAUAGACAAAGCUGGAAAGCGACGUUUCAAAACUCCAAAACACCUUUCAACUGUGUUUCUGGUCGCUUUGUGGGAAGCAUUAUAUGCUUCCUCAGCCCUGUUUCUUGGAUUAAUGAAGGGCGUCAAAAGAUAUCUUUUGCAUGCGUAGCCACUGUCUCCAAGAAGAUAUCCAGCGCCAUACAUGCCUCGUUCUAAUUCAGGAGGUAACGGACAGUCAUUAAAAAUGGUGGAAUCGUGGACAGAUCCUGGCCAGCGAGCUAUGAUAUGUCGUAUUUGAAGCUCCGCGUCACAAACUACUUGGACAUUGAGCGAAAAAAAACCUUUUCGGCAUCUAUAAGUUUCAGCCAAGUGUCCACCUGGCGAUUGGAUUGGUAUAUGCGUACCGUCUAUUGCCCCUAUGACACACGGAAAACCCCGGAUUUCGAAGAAUUUUCUAUGUAUUGUUGGUAUUUCCUGCAAGGUAGGCAUUUUCAACACGUCGCCCUUCAAUCGCAGUAUUUCCUUGGAGACCUUGUAGAUUAUUCUUGAAAUUGUUGAUUUAUGUACCAAAACAGAGUCCCCAAUUAAUUGUUGAAACGCUCCUGUUGCAUAGAAUCUGAGACAAAUCAAGAGUUGUUCUCUACUGUUUAGAGCCUUGUUACGGUUUGUCAAGGGAUCUAACCGGUCUCCAAUCUGAUUUAAAAUUUCCACCACGCUAUUUUUUGAAAACCGAUACCUUUGCUUAAAGUCGAUAUCGUCGUACCUAUCGAAAGGGUCGGACCUGUCUCGAAAAAUUCGAGGUCUUCUAGGAACAGGAACAUCGGAAUCGUCAGAGGAACUGGAGGACGUUAACGUUAAGGACACGGACAUUUUGAGGUAAACUACAAUUUACAGCUGUUACAACAAAAAGUAUAUUUCACAUGUAUUUAAAAUUACCUGAAUAAAAUUUAAUUGAACCUU